GUAUUCACAGCGAAGAAAAAAAUACUAUAAAUAUGUGUGUAUCGACAGUUAACACAUUAGUAAUGUUCGUGAACAAAAAAAAAGAAGAACACAAACAAAAAUUAGGCUGCACAUUAAAAGAAACACAAGGUAUACAGUUUUAAAUGUCUUUGAACCCUGUUAUACAGACAUGUACACCUUUCAAGCUUAAUUAAUCUGCAUUGCUUUUACAGACAGGCAUACCAGCAAAAUAUCAUAAUUGAUCAAUGGAUCCUUAAAAUGACGUCAAAGUUAUAUGAUACAUACCGGACCAUAAUGUACAUCUUACAAUCAUUAUACAUAUUAUGAUUAAAC
rnacentral:lncRNA from 1 species